rnacentral:rRNA from 1 species
GAUGAACGCUGGCGGCGUGCCUAAUACAUGCAAGUCGAGCGGACCUCUUCGGAGGUCAGCGGCGGACGGGUGAGUAACACGCGGGCAACCUGCCUGUAAGACUGGGAUAACUUCGGGAAACCGGAGCUAAUACCGGAUCAUGCCUUUUGCCACAUGGCGGAAGGCUGAAAGAUGGCGUAAGCUAUCACUUACAGAUGGGCCCGCGGCGCAUUAGCUAGUUGGUGAGGUAACGGCUCACCAAGGCGACGAUGCGUAGCCGACCUGAGAGGGUGAUCGGCCACACUGGGAAUGGGACACGGCCCAGACUCCUACGGGAGGCAGCAGUAGGGAAUCUUCCGCAAUGGACGAAAGUCUGACGGAGCAACGCCGCGUGAGCGAUGAAGGCCUUCGGGUCGUAAAGCUCUGUUGUCAGGGAAGAACAAGUACCGUUUGAAUAAGGCGGUACCUUGACGGUACCUGACCAGAAAGCCACGGCUAACUACGUGCCAGCCGCCGCCGUAA